AACGGGAUCCAUCAAGCUUGCUUGGUGGUGAGAGUGGCGAACGGGUGAGUAAUGCGUGACCGACCUGCCCCAUGCUCCGGAAUAGCUCCUGGAAACGGGUGGUAAUGCCGGAUGUUCCACAUGAUCGCAUGUGAUUGUGGGAAAGAUUUCAUCGGCGUGGGAUGGGGUCGCGUCCUAUCAGCUUGUUGGUGAGGUAACGGCUCACCAAGGCUUCGACGGGUAGCCGGCCUGAGAGGGCGACCGGCCACAUUGGGACUGAGAUACGGCCCAGACUCCUACGGGAGGCAGCAGUGGGGAAUAUUGCACAAUGGGCGCAAGCCUGAUGCAGCGACGCCGCGUGAGGGAUGGAGGCCUUCGGGUUGUAAACCUCUUUUGUUUGGGAGCAAGCCUUCGGGUGAGUGUACCUUUCGAAUAAGCGCCGGCUAACUACGUGCCAGCAGCCGCGGUAAUACGUAGGGCGCAAGCGUUAUCCGGAUUUAUUGGGCGUAAAGGGCUCGUAGGCGGCUCGUCGCGUCCGGUGUGAAAGUCCAUCGCUUAACGGUGGAUCUGCGCCGGGUACGGGCGGGCUGGAGUGCGGUAGGGGAGACUGGAAUUCCCGGUGUAACGGUGGAAUGUGUAGAUAUCGGGAAGAACACCGAUGGCGAAGGCAGGUCUCUGGGCCG
rnacentral:rRNA from 1 species